CUGUUGCUGGCACCCUUCAGCAAAGCUCUGCCUGAAUAAAGGUUUGUACUUAGCGAAACGCUGGACCAGCUUUCUCGUCCGUGCUUCCCGUGUCGCCUGCCCGCCACCGCUGAGCUGAAAUCACUCGAGACCGUCUGAAGCUGCUCACACGCGCUUCGGCCCAGUCCUUUUCAGGGCUGCCUCUGGAGAAGUCGCGGUGCUCCGGGCUUUCCGUCGCUGCGGCAACUGGACACGGAGCAUUGCUUCAAGGAGGUGCCGAGGGACAAAGCUUUGUGUCUGGAAGCAGCAUCUGAGCAGGGUCAAAUACGAGUGGCAAAUCAACGUUGGCAGGGAUCUGCCGGAGGAGAGGAGUUUCUGGUGGGCUCCCAGUGGCAUCUGAUGGAGUGAUGGUGAGAGCAUCUCAUAGGGUCUGGGGGAGCACCUGGAUGCACUUGGACCCGGAGCACCGCUUAAAGGAGAUGGUGAGGGACAAAGCUUUUUGCCAGGAAGCAGCACCUGAACAGCUGAGCCACUGUGGAUUUGCAGGGGUGAUCUUUCUCCUUUUCCCUUUUGAUUUCACCUUGGCAGUCCCUCCCCGGUGCCCUCAAUCUGUCACAAGAAUUCCAAAAAAAAAAAGGCUGAGGAAACAGUGAAAAGAAGGGGUAUAGGUAAGGUGGAGUUCAGGUGUACCCCACCCCAAACCCUAAACAGCAGCCCUAACAGUGCCACCAUUUCCCUGAGACAGCUGCAGGCAGGAACCCUAAAGCAGGAGAGUUCCAGAACCCUCGAGAGCUGCAGGCAGUUCCCUGGUGCUAGGGCCAGCCAGGAGAUAGUGGGGGGACGAUCCGUAGGGUUGGGGAAACAGGGGGUUUCCCGCCCCGCCCCACCCUGGGCUCUCGGUCCCUCCGCAGCCGGGGAUUGCUCCCACCCCUCCUCGAGGCGGCGGUUGGCAGGGCUUCGUGCCUGGCCUCCGCAAAGAGUUCGGCUCUGUCAGCCUCUGCCCUGUCUCAGGGCCAAACUUAGGUAGGGUAGGGAGCAACUGUGGAUUGCCUGGUCCGGGCUAAUGGACAUCUCUUGGGGCCUAUGGAUAAGGAGCAUCCCCGGUUGCAAGCGUAGGGUUCUAACUAAGUUUGUAGGGUUCAGCGGGGGAGCUUGGCAGUGACACAGAGAGGUUGAGGGAGGGCUUCAGAGGUCGAGGGCUGGAGACAAACAGUGAAAAUAAAAGGGGUACAGGUUGGGAUAUAAGGUAGAGUACAGGACUAUUCAAACCCUAAACAGCAGCCCUAACAGCGCUCCCGUUUCCCUGAGGCAGCUGCAGGCAGGAACCCUAAAGCAGCAGAGUGCCAGAACCCCCGAGAGCUGCAGGCAGUACCCCUGGUGCUAGGGCCAGCCAGGAAGAGAUAGUGGGUGCUAGGGCCUACUGCUGUCAUAUAAGCUGGGGUUUCCAUCCUUGGGGUACCCUGGGCUCCCUGUCCCUCACUGACUGGAGAGUCUUCCUCCCCUCCUUGAGGUGGUGGUAAUUUGGCUGUGUCAGCCAAUACUGCUGUGAAGCAAGCCUCUGCCUCCCUGUGGGGUGAAGUGUGCAGCCCAUGAACCUGGGCAUUCUCUAGAGAAGGUAAGUGCUGGGUUUUCACAGAUAUGCCGCUAAGAUCCUGCAUUGAUAUUUGGUCUUCUAGAUUGUAGCUGACCAGGAGACGACAUCCUGGCGAUGGCAGGAACUUCCCGGAUAGCGCAACGGCCUUCCAGGGCGUCCUCGUGUGGAUCCUCCCCGCCGGGCAUCCGAGAGCUGAGUCGGAGGCUGCGAAUUGCAGAGGGGCUGAAAUCGGGGUGCCGGGUCGGGACUUGUGACCUGGGAUUAUGGAGUCAGCUUUGGGGACGGGGAGGUCCAGGCUGUGGCCCCUUAGGCCACGUGAAGGGAGAGCCUGACAUUUGUUCACAGUGCUGAGGUGUGCAGGACGGAGCAGCCCCAGGGCGUGUUGUAUCACUUGUCCAUCGUGCCUUCUGUGUCUUUUGUGCCUCUCGUGUUGUACGUGCCUCGCCUUAUCUCUUCUGGGGGCUUACCAGAAACCCCGGUGUCACUCGUAGCAUCUCUGAUCUCUGGGCUCCUCAGCCCGAUGCCAUCGAAGCUUUGCCUCAGGAGCUCUCAGAGGCCUUGGAAUCGCGUCUCUCUUUUAAAAGCAUCCGAUCGGAUGUCUUUUAGAGGUCUUGUUCCGAGCUGUGUCAACAGCCGUGCGCCGCGAGGAUCCAUUGCUGCGGCUUAGGUCUUGAAGAAACACAAAGAUAGGUAGAGGACUGUGGCCCUAAAAUUCUCGGGCAUCCGUCUUGGCAGUUGCUGGAGUUCGUCAUUCCAUCAGCAUCUUCUUCCUCCCGGGUUCUGCGAGCUUCAUCAGCUCGCCUUCAUUCUCACCCGGCUCAUCUCGUUCCACGUUCUCUCGGUCCUUGCGGCCAUUCUUGUGGCCCAGAGUUUUGUCUCCCCAUUGUGUCCCCUCGUCUGUUGUCUUGUGUGUCACGGGUGUCUGGGUGUAGUUGUCCUGGAGCUGCUCUGUCCUGCUGCCCAGCCUGGGUGUAGGUGUAAAAGGCCAAGUCUCAGGCCCCUGUAAUUUGAAAUUUGUCAUGUAGGGUGUAGUUGGAGUCUAGCGGGUGUUCCUAGAUUGACACAGGAUGUCUGGAACUGUGAAGUUACCCUGCAGCACUUUGACUUUUGUCUCAGCUUUCUUUCAGAUGCAGACGGAUGAAAUCGGUGGCAGAGCGCCCCAUCCAGGGUAAGGGGGUUCCCGUGAGAAGGAAGUAGAGCCAGCUAGCAGCAGUCAAGGUGAAGUGGGCAAGG